rnacentral:rRNA from 1 species
CCACCCUUUAAAGAAAGCGUAAUAGCUCACUGGUCGAGUCGGCCUGCGCGGAAGAUGUAACGGGGCUAAAACUAUAUGCCGAAGCUGCGGAUUUGCAAUUUAUUGCAAGUGGUAGGGGAGCGUUCUGUAAGCCGAUGAAGGUGUAUUGAGAAGUAUGCUGGAGGUAUCAGAAGUGCGAAUGCUGACGUGAGUAACGACAAAACGGGUGAAAAACCCGUUCGCUGAAAGACCAAGGGUUCCAGUCCAACGUUAAUCGGGGCUGGGUGAGUCGACCCCUAAGGCGAGGCCGAGAGGCGUAGUCGAUGGGAAAUUGGUUAAUAUUCCAAUACUUCUGUGUAAUGCGAUGAGAGGACGGAGAAGGUUAAGUCAGCCUGGCGUUGGUUGUCCAGGUGGAAGGUUGUAGGCAUGUAUCUUAGGCAAAUCCGGGGUACUGUAUGCUGAGAACUGAUAGCAAGCUGUACUUGUACAGUGAAGUGGCUGAUACCAUGCUUCCAGGAAAAGUCUCUAAGCUUCAGUUACACAGGAAUCGUACCCGAAACCGACACAGGUGGUCAGGUCGAGUAGACCAAAGCGCUUGAGAGAACUCUGCUGAAGGAACUAGGCAAAAUGGUACCGUAACUUCGG